UACGUAGGGGGCAAGCGUUGUCCGGAAUUAUUGGGCGUAAAGAGCGCGUAGGCGGUCCGGUAAGUCGGCUGUGAAAGUCAAGGGCUCAACCCUUGAAAGCCGGCCGAUACUGUCGGACUAGAGUCCGGAAGAGGCGAGUGGAAUUCCCGGUGUAGCGGUGAAAUGCGCAGAUAUCGGGAGGAACACCAAUGGCGAAGGCAGCUCGCUGGGACGGUACUGACGCUGAGGAGCGAAAGCCAGGGGAGCAAACGGG
rnacentral:rRNA from 1 species